rnacentral:rRNA from 1 species
GCUAGCUACAGGCUUAACACAUGCAAGUCGAGGGGCAGCAUUUCAGUUUGCUUGCAAACUGGAGAUGGCGACCGGCGCACGGGUGAGUAACACGUAUCCAACCUGCCGAUAACUCGGGGAUAGCCUUUCGAAAGAAAGAUUAAUACCCGAUGGUAUAAUCAGACCGCAUGGUCUUAUUAUUAAAGAAUUUCGGUUAUCGAUGGGGAUGCGUUCCAUUAGGCAGUUGGUGAGGUAACGGCUCACCAAACCUUCGAUGGAUAGGGGUUCUGAGAGGAAGGUCCCCCACAUUGGAACUGAGACACGGUCCAAACUCCUACGGGAGGCAGCAGUGAGGAAUAUUGGUCAAUGGGCGCAGGCCUGAACCAGCCAAGUAGCGUGAAGGAUGACUGCCCUAUGGGUUGUAAACUUCUUUUAUAUGGGAAUAAAGUUUUCCACGUGUGGAAUUUUGUAUGUACCAUAUGAAUAAGGAUCGGCUAACUCCGUGCCAGCAGCCGCGGUAAUACGGAGGAUCCGAGCGUUAUCCGGAUUUAUUGGGUUUAAAGGGAGCGUAGGUGGACAGUUAAGUCAGUUGUGAAAGUUUGCGGCUCAACCGUAAAAUUGCAGUUGAUACUGGCUGUCUUGAGUACAGUAGAGGUGGGCGGAAUUCGUGGUGUAGCGGUGAAAUGCUUAGAUAUCACGAAGAACUCCGAUUGCGAAGGCAGCUCACUGGACUGCAACUGACACUGAUGCUCGAAAGUGUGGGUAUCAAACAGGAUUAGAUACCCUGGUAGUCCACACAGUAAACGAUGAAUACUCGCUGUUUGCGAUAUACAGUAAGCGGCCAAGCGAAAGCAUUAAGUAUUCCACCUGGGGAGUACGCCGGCAACGGUGAAACUCAAAGGAAUUGACGGGGGCCCGCACAAGCGGAGGAACAUGUGGUUUAAUUCGAUGAUACGCGAGGAACCUUACCCGGGCUUAAAUUGCAUUUGAAUAAUCUGGAAACAGGUUAGCCGCAAGGCAAAUGUGAAGGUGCUGCAUGGUUGUCGUCAGCUCGUGCCGUGAGGUGUCGGCUUAAGUGCCAUAACGAGCGCAACCCUUAUCUUUAGUUACUAACAGGUCAUGCUGAGGACUCUAGAGAGACUGCCGUCGUAAGAUGUGAGGAAGGUGGGGAUGACGUCAAAUCAGCACGGCCCUUACGUCCGGGGCUACACACGUGUUACAAUGGGGGGUACAGAAGGUAGCUACCUGGUGACAGGAUGCUAAUCCCAAAAGCCUCUCUCAGUUCGGAUCGAAGUCUGCAACCCGACUUCGUGAAGCUGGAUUCGCUGGUAAUCGCGCAUCAGCCAUGGCGCGGUGAAUACGUUCCCGGGCCUUGUACACACCGCCCGUCAAGCCAUGAAAGCCGGGGGUACCUAAAGGACGUAACCGCAAGGAGCGUCCUAGGGUAAAACUC